rnacentral:rRNA from 1 species
GACGUAGGGGGCCAGCGUUGUUCGGAAUUACUGGGUGUAAAGGGUUCGUAGGCGGUGUGGCAAGUCGGGAGUGAAAAUCUCUGGGCUCAACCCAGAGUCUGCUUCCGAAACUGCUGUGCUUGAGUGUGGGAGAGGCGCGUGGAAUUGCAGGUGUAGCGGUGAAAAUGCGUAGAUAUCUGCAGGAACACCCCGUGGCGAAAAGCGGCGCGCUGGACCACUACUGACGCUGAGGAACGAAAAGCUAGGGGGAGCAAAACAGGAUUAGAAACUUCCAGUCAGUC